rnacentral:rRNA from 1 species
UACGAAGGGGGCUAGCGUUGCUCGGAAUCACUGGGCGUAAAGGGCGCGUAGGCGGAUCUUUAAGUCGGGGGUGAAAGCCCAGGGCUCAACCCUGGAAUUGCCUUCGAUACUGAAGAUCUCGAGACCGGAAGAGGUAAGUGGAACUGCGAGUGUAGAGGUGAAAUUCGUAGAUAUUCGCAAGAACACCAGUGGCGAAGGCGGCUUACUGGUCCGGUUCUGACGCUGAGGCGCGAAAGCGUGGGAGCAAACAGGG